rnacentral:lncRNA from 1 species
AUCUUGGGUUUUGUGAACAAAAUUUGUUUAUUUGGAGCAAGGUUUUGUGUUGAAGCUUUGUAGGUGAAGCUUUGGUGUUGAAGCUUUGUAGAUGAAGCUUUCGAGGUGAAGCUUUGAUGGUGAAGCUUUGUAGAUGAAAGUAUGUAGAGGGAGCUUUCUAGGUGAAGAUUUUUUAGGUGAAGCUUUGUAGGUGAAGCUUUUUUAAGUGAAGCUUUUCGGGUGAAGUUUUUUUUGGGUGAAGCUUUGUGGGUGAAGCUUUUUAGGUGAAGCUUUGUGGGUGAAGCUUUUUAGGUGAAGCUUUGUAGGUGAAGCUUUUUUAAGUGAAGCUUUUCGGGUGAAGUUUUUUUUUU